rnacentral:rRNA from 1 species
GACGAACGCUGGCGGCGUGCUUAACACAUGCAAGUCGAACGGUAAGGCCCUUCGGGGUACACGAGUGGCGAACGGGUGAGUAACACGUGGGUGAUCUGCCCUGCACUUCGGGAUAAGCCUGGGAAACUGGGUCUAAUACCGGAUAGGACCACUGCCUGCAUGGGUGGUGGUGGAAAGCUUUUGCGGUGUGGGAUGGGCCCGCGGCCUAUCAGCUUGGUGGUGGGGUGAUGGCCUACCAAGGCGACGACGGGUAGCCGGCCUGAGAGGGUGACCGGCCACACUGGGACUGAGAUACGGCCCAGACUCCUACGGGAGGCAGCAGUGGGGAAUAUUGCACAAUGGGCGCAAGCCUGAUGCAGCGACGCCGCGUGAGGGAUGACGGCCUUCGGGUUGUAAACCUCUUUCAGCACCGACGAAGCGCAAGUGACGGUAGGUGCAGAAGAAGGACCGGCCAACUACGAGCCAGCAGCCGCGGUAA